CACCUCCAUGCUUCACAGUUAGGAUGGUGUUCUUGAGGUUGCACUCAUCCUUAGUCUUCCUCCAAACACAACAAGUAGAGUUUAGACCAAAAAGCUCUAUUUUCAUCUCAUCAGACCACAUGACCUUCUCCCAUGAAUGAGUAUGUGGACAAGUGUCUUUUAUACAGGUAACGAGUUCAAACCGGUGCAGUUAAUAAAAAGUGGAGAAAAGGAGGGCUUCCUGUGAGAGCUGGAAUUCUUACUGGUUGAUAGGUGAUCAAAUGCUUAUUGUCAUAAACAAUAAACUGCAAAAAUAUAUUUUUAAUAUAUAUAUUGUUAUUUAAGAUUCUGUCAUUAGAGUAGAAGAGUAUACCUAAGAUAAAAAUGACAGGCUCUUACGUGGUUUGUAAGUGGGAACCUGCACAAUCCCCAGUGUAUCAAAUGCUUUUCCUCCUCACUGUAGAUAACUGAGGGGAACACUUAUUUUAAAAGUGCCAUGUUGACACUGUUUUGGAGUUGCAACUCUGAGUUCAAAUGACUGCAAACAAUCCCAUAUUAUACUUCAUCUGGUGCCCACUCUAAAGCAAAACUAUAUUCUUUCCAGUUAUUAAUUUAAAAUAACUUUCAUAUUAUCUGUAAUCGAAUGUGUUCCAUCCUACAGUUCCUCCUUUAAAACCCUUGCCUCACACUUGAAUUGCCAGGCAGGAGUUUAUUUUACUAACGUGAUUGUUUCUUUAAUCAACAUGACAAAAUAAUUUUGUCUUUUUUAUUUAUAAUACAGAGCUUAACUGUAGAGACCUACAUUUCGGUUGGAUAAAGGAGGGUACAUAAAUUAACCAAUAUCAAAAGCGUAUGUUGGUGGAUUGUUGUGGAUUUUUCCAUCUUCACACACACACACACACUCGAGACCGGUGUAUGUCCUGGUUAAGACUAUCCGGGUCCCCACAUGGUCAACCCCUCCCCCACACCUAUACCCGCGCGCGCGUCUGGAGCUAAUGAUUGCAUCUCUUGACUCACUCACUGGACGAGCAGGAGCUGCAAACGCAGCAGCAAUCAGCGUGUUCGUUCUCCAAGGUUUUCACUCAUGGAGAGAAGAACUUGGACCAAUCCAGGAUGCGGAGUACCAUAUCCAAGCGGGGAUUGAUAAACCAUGUCUCCAGCGUUUUAUCAAUAAUUUUAAAGCAUUGAUGCAUGUGAAAAGGACUCCUCUCUUGGGAGACUUGUUGAUGACGACCACAGAAGACCUAUUUUUGCAAAAUGAAAACCAUAAGUAAAGAAACCACACUUGUCUCUUCGCGAUUCGAUAUAUUACACCUGGAGAAGAACUGACGUCAACAACGUGACUCAAACUGGCCAUGGAGAGCACAGCCCCCAAAACACACUUCACUGGCACGGACACCCUGUUCAACAUGCCCGUCUCAGAUGAUAAUUUGCAGAGUGAGCGCUCGAAGUUGCAGGCCAGGAUUGACAAAUUAAAAACACCACAAUCGGUGUGAAACUCUGUAUGAAUCUACGGCUGAGAAGCGAAAUGCUCUUCAAAGACAGCGAACCUUACUCCUACUGCAAUUGGCAAACUUGGAUAAAAUGCUGGGCCCAGAAUCACAUCCAGUCACUUAAACAGCAGAAGAUUCUGUGAUACCCUCACCAACAGACACACAGGUAUGGUCAGAAAUUGACCAUGCAUCUCCAACCAGCGAAUGUGUACCACCACUGGAAAGAACGGAGUGUAUUUGUUGCCUUCCUUCACAACAUGGACACAUAUUCCAGCUCUGCAGAAGAUGGGAAUGUGUCCCACUCCAAUUCCAAGCUGGGCCCAGAAUCACAUCCAGUCACUUAAACAGCAGAAGAUUCUGUGAUACCCUCACCAACAGACACACAGGUAUGGUCAGAAAUUGACCAUGCAUCUCCAACCAGCGAAUGUGUACCACCACUGGAAAGAACGGAGUGUAUUUGUUGUCUUCCAAAUCAACAUGGACUAGGGUUAGGGUUCUUAACAUGAACGACACCGAAAUGGACCAACUUGCUGAUAUCCUGGGACAUGAUAUUCGUAUCCACAGGAAAUAUUACAGAUUACCCGAGGGAACACUAUUAACAGGAGUGCGUUGAGCCUGAUCCUGGGAUGGAGAGUGAAACAGAACUGUCAGAUCAUUCUCAUGACGUGACGUCAAGUGAGACAGCAGGCACUUCAGGAGUGAAUAGCAGCAGGCCAGUAAACACGAAUGAAGGAUCUCCAGAGAGGUCACGGGAGGUCAUGAAAGUAACAUCAGUUCCUAGGAAGAGAAAGUGGAGUGAGGUGGAGAUUGCGGCUGUAGAAGAGACAAUGAUGAAAUUUAUUCACUCGGGAGUUACACCUGGAAAAGUCGACUACAUUGCAUGCAUUACAGCAGCCCCCAAAGCCCUCUGUGAACGAGACUGGCAGGCGGUGAAGUAUUAUAUAAAAAACAGAAUCACAGCAUAUGAGAGAAAGACCACUAAAAAGUAAGGUUGAUUUUGGUUGUUGAUUCCGUUUUUGCGUUUUAGUUGAAUUAUAAUAUUUUUUUUUUGGUCUCAAUACUAGGGCUGCACGAUAUUGGGGAAAAAGGACAUUGCGAUAUCUUAUUUUUCUGCGAUAUAUAUUGCGAUAUGAUAUCUAAUCUAAUUUUUUCUUACAAACAAAAAUGGCAUGAGCACACAUACAUUCUCAUUUUAAAUGAUUUAAACAUCAGAGUAUUGUUUAAAUUAGAGUAAAUUAUUUGUUUGUAACUUUAGGAUAUGGUUUGAAUUGUUAACAUUAACUAACAUGAACUUACCAUGAGCAAUACUUGUGUUACUAUAUUUUUUAAUCUUUGUUUAUCUUAGUUAUCUUAAACACAGCUGUUCAUUGUUUGGUAAUGUUACUUCACAGUAGGGAUGCACCGGUUGACCGGCCAUUAAUCGGAACCGGCCGGUUUUUGCUUAAAAUACGCAAUCACCCGUUUUUGGUGUUUUUCCGGCCGAUUUUUCCGGAAGUGCGCUCGCGUGCACAGACUACAUUGUAAUCGUUUGCUAUGUAAUUUGUGUGGAAGAGUAUUUCGAAAUCUGUGCGCAGGACACAGGCAGUCGAUCAGUACCGGAAAUGCAGAGCUUCAUGUCUGAGGCACAGAUGGCAGGAAGUGAACAGCCGCUGUUGUACUGCCGCACAAAUAAGAGCCUUUCCUGCACACUGAAGCUGCGUGAGUGUAUACUGUAUCUGUCCGUGCCCUGAACACAAGUAGACCGUGAAGAGAUGUUCAGCUCAACUUCUCACGUGUUGGAUGAGAAACGAAACGGACUAAACUGUGACAAAACAGAAUUAUUUUUUAUUUAUUUAUUUUACUUUUUAUUAUUAUUAUUAGAACUUGCAUUCAUGUUUGAAAAGCCAGAAAUAAACUUCAGUUCUGAAUUAGGAUGAUUAUUUUUAUUUUACCCUAAAAUAGACUUAAUUUAAUUUAAAAAUCAUCUGCUGUAGCACACUGAAAAAAAGUAUUUCAUCUAAUUAAAAUAUUUUAGGGUAAUGAUUCACAUCUAUAUUUUUUUUACUUGAGUCAACAAGUUAUUUAUUUUUCACUGGCUCAAGUAAAAAAAAUAUAGAUGUGAAUCAUUAUCCUAUUUAUUUUUUAAUUAUUAUUAUUAUUGGAUGAAUGAAACCCUUUGCAUCUUUGUUUUAUUCGCACAAACAUUAUUUGAUUUUAACAUUUUGGAAAAUGUAUUUAUAUAGCAUACUUUUAUUUAGUCUCACUGGUAAAGACCUUUUUUUUUUUUAACUUAAAACCAAAUUUAAAAACUAAAAUACUGAAUGCUGAUCAAGAAACAUCUUAUUGAAUGUGUGUUGAUUGUGUUGUUUGGACUGUAGAACUAUGCAGUUGUUACCUUUAAUUUCACAUGGUUACAGUUAAUCUUUUAUUUAAGGCCAGUUCUCUGUAGUUUCAACCCAAUUCAAAAACAAAAGUUAAAUGCUGAUGUCUGUACCAUCUGUGUUUGUAUUGAAUGUAGGCUACUUAUUGUGCAGUUACUGCUAUUAAUUUAAUAAACAAGAUUUGACAACACAGAACACGUCAUAGAAUUAUAAUUUUUUUUUCCGACAUCGUUUUUUGAUUUUGAUAAAUUUGCGCGAGGGAGAGAGCAAGACGACGCUUGUGUUGUUUGAAGACGGUGAAGGUGGGCGUGAGCGCGUGGCUGGGCCCUCUCUCUCUCUCUCUCUCUCUCUCUCUC